GGCUUCGACGGGGGUGUUGAAGCAGGAAUAGCGGGCGGAAGUGAGGACGCUUCCUUAAAAGCCUCAAAUGUUUAUAAAUUAAACAACAACAAUUAUUCUUUACAGGCUGCCUAAUUAGGCUGGCCCGUCCUACCUGAGAGUACCACGGCUCGGGAUUAGGGCGUCGAUUUUGUGGUGAACGUCACAGGCAAAGAGUUGCGUCUGUGAUGUAUUAUGACUCUACUAAAGCAAUUAGCCUGUUUGUCGGCGAAUUGUGGAGGGAAUGAAAAAAGAUAAACUACGCCCGUAGAGGUUCUUGUGAAUAUGCUUUCGGACAGGGGUUCAACUCCCCUCGUCUCCACCA
rnacentral:tmRNA from 1 species